GUCCUUUUGUACUUCAGAAGUGUGAUGACUGGGUUUUCCUGCCAGUGUAAGAGAUGUACCUCCAUCAAACUCUGUUACCACAUCAAUGCAUUACUGAUAUGGCA